rnacentral:lncRNA from 10 species
UGACUCCUGACACGUUGCUGUAUGCCACAAUUCUAUACUACAACACAUUGCCUGCCAACAGCUUUAGGAUCCUGAGAACUAAUCUGCCUGCCAUUCCAAUGAAAUGUUCUUAUUCCAGGUAAGGUGUCUCAUGGCUGCUACUGCCCUGCCAUGCCACCAAACUUUACCAUCCUCAGCUGGUUUAUUAUUAAUGCCUCCUUUAGGAGAAGCAAUGUGAGCAGCAAAGCUGGCCAACCUACCAAAUUAGUUCUACUCUUUUUCUUUCAGCAGAGACUGGAGUUCACCAUGAGCCUGAUGACAGGUAAGUGGAUGCACAAGUAAAUUAGAAGCUACCCCUUACCCCUGUUGCUGUAUGGGGGCAUCUCCAUAGAGAUUCUUAUAGUGCUGAGAGAGAUUCUAGAUUCCCACUUGCAGAUGUAUUUCCAUUCAAGCAGAUGUCCACACUGGGUGUCAUAUUGUUCUAAGGCUUUUCUUCAUUGAUACUUGUGUAGCCACACUAACUCCAAACGCAGAAUCUACUCCUUGACAUGUCCUUAUUGAUUUUAAUGGGUAAGUUACAUGAUGUUCUCAUGUCAAUUCCCAACUACAAAGCAACUCACUAACCAGUGCUCUUUAAAUACCUAGUUACUUGGUGAAUGGUCAUCAGAAGUUGCUGUGUCUGCCUUCAUAUCACCAAGGCUCAAAUCAGACAGACAUCCUUCAGUUCAGAGUUGGUGCUUUUAGAUUUUUCUGGUUACAGUCACAAUCUGCUAAGUUACUUUUUUUGCUCCUCUCUAACAUUAGUAUGCUAAACAUAGGAGUCGAAUCUAAGUUUCAACUCUUAAUUAUUUUGUAGAUCUAUAUUACAUGCCAUCUGAAGGCUGCUGAAGCAUCAGCUGAGCCAGAUUCUUCAAACAUGACCUACUCUUUUAAUGGAUGAAACAAUUUGCCAGUAUAGCAGCAGAAGCAUUCAUAGAUUUUGAUGUGAAUGCCAAUGGUGUUAGACGUAAACUACUAUGACCAGGCAGAGGCAAAUUCACCAAAAAUGCUGAGUUUAGAGAGGGGAAGUAGCCUUUUGAGACUGCACAGAAUAAGUUAGGUUAUUCCCAGAUAUUAGGGCAGGCAGAGAAAGAAUAAAGCCAUAGUUUGUUACGAUACAGUUUAGCUAAUUUUUUAACAGCUGUGUCAAGGAACUAAGCAUUUUACUAUGGUUUUAAUUUAAGAGGUACUCCUUUUUCUAUAUACAGGUAAUCAGAAGUCAUUAAAAAUGGCAGAGAGAGCUGUCAAAUUAGGAUUUUAAUCAGUUCCAAAACCAUAUUCUUUCCUAAUUAAAGAAUCUAGGGGAGUUCUCAAACUUGGCUGCAAGUUAGAUCACCUGGGAAGCUCUUAAAAAUUCUAGUAUCCAGGCCCUAACCAAGAACAAUUAAAUCAUGAACUAGAUAGUACAGAACUCACAUAUCAGUAACGCUGAAACUUCCCAGGUGAUUCCAAUGUGCAUCUAUGGUUGGGAAACUGGUCUGAAAUAAAUACUAUUAACAGUUUAAGGAAAGGUUAAAUUAGCAUCUACUGCUUUGUCCAUUAAAUAAUACCUUACUCACUAGUAUGAAGCUUUGAAAAAAUAAUCAAAACUAGUUAGUAUAGUAUCUCAGUGUAUCAGCAAGUCUGCCACAUUACAGGCAAUAUCUGACACCUGUAUUACAGGUGACUUGAGUAACCUGGACAGCUCCAGUUUAACUUUAUUACAAGUUACUUAAAAGUUAUCAGAAACUUUGUUUCUUUAGUGCUCAAAGUUAGGCUUCAAUAAUUACUCCAAAAAGGUUACCAUCAAGGUGUAAAAACACCAAUUCAGUAGAAGAUUAAAGUGGGUUAGCUCUAAUAGGAGCAGAAUAGUGAAUAUGAGUAGAAUCUCAGACUGCUUUCUCCAACUUACUAUGAAGGAUUCUUCUUUACCUACUAUGGCUUAUGCAGAGCUAAACCCCUAUAUUUCUAGUUUGAACUUAGUUUGCUGUCCUCCCCCUGAUUAUGCACUGAACCGUACAAUCAACUGAUUGUCUUGUGUUCACCAUGAAAACAAUACAACUAGGGAUUUAAUUUAAUUCAGAGGAACUUGAUGCUCUUCUAAGUAACAUUUGGAACCUUUCAGAGCCCUCUUUAAUGUAUCUUUUUGAUCAUUCUUGCUUUUUGAGAUAAAUAUAACUCAAUGUUUAUUCAAAUAUGAUGCUCCUUUUAUUCUGUUAAGAUGAGGAAUAGUGGUUUUUCAUACUAAAUUUCUUUUCUCCCCUCUUAUCACAUACUUUCAUUUAUUUUUACCCUGACCUAAACAUUUCAUAUAAAUUUAGUUUAUUUGCUCCUUUAAGAAACUAUUAAUUGAAUCAAAUUGACCAUAAUGCGAGGCUAAUUUCCUAAAACUUGCAUAUAGAAACUGCUUGCUUAGGAAUUUGAUUUCAUAAAAUAUAAAAUAACCAGUCAAAUGACUAACAUCAUUCCCAUAUUCCAAUUUUGUUAUUACAAUUUUCUGUCACCUCAGUGAACGUACUAGAUGAGUAUUGUCAUAGUAGACUAUCUGCUGGAAGUCUAUUAAGGAUUAGAACCUUUUGCUGUCAUCUUGUAGGUGGUCUCUUCUAGAAGGUAACAUUGACAUCUGUAAUUGCUGUGAGACCUAUACCUGUGGAAAGUUAUAUUU